rnacentral:tRNA from 1 species
CCCUGGUUAGCUCAGUUGGUAGAGCGCUCCACUUGUAAUGGAGAGGUCCCGGGUACGAUACCCGGACCAGGCG